rnacentral:rRNA from 1 species
UUGAGGUAUCCACGAGAGAACGGAAUUCCUGGCGUAGCGAUGGAAUGGGCAGAUAUCAGGAGGAACACCGGUGGCGAAGGCGGUUCUCUGGGCAUUACCUGACGCUGAGGAGCGAAAGCAUGGGGAGCGAACAGGAUUAGAUACCCUGGUAGUCCAUGCCGUAAACGUUGGGCGCUAGGUGUGGGGACCUUCCACGGUUUCCGUGCCGCAGCUAACGCAUUAAGCGCCCCGCCUGGGGAGUACGGCCGCAAGGCUAAAACUCAAAGGAAUUGACGGGGGCCCGCACAAGCGGCGGAGCAUGCUGAUUAAUUCGAUGCAACGCGAAGAACCUUACCUGGGUUUGACAUAUGCCGGAAAGCUGCAGAGAUGUGGCCUCCUUUUGGCCGGUAUACAGGUGGUGCAUGGCUGUCGUCAGCUCGUGUCGUGAGAUGUUGGGUUAAGUCCCGCAACGAGCGCAACCCUCGUUCUAUGUUGCCAGCACGUUAUGGUGGGGACUCAUAGGAGACUGCCGGGGUCAACUCGGAGGAAGGUGGGGAUGACGUCAAGUCUUCAUGCCCCUUAUGUCCAGGGCUUCAAGCAUGCUACAAUGGCCGGUACAAAGGGCUGCGAAACUGUAAGGUGGAGCGAAUCCCAAAAAGCCGGUCUCAGUUCGGAUUGGGGUCUGCAACUCGACCCCAUGAAGUCGGAGUCGCUAGUAAUCGCAGAUCAGCAACGCUGCGGUGAAUACGUUCCCGGGCCUUGUACACACCUCCCGUCACGUCCAUGAAAGUCGGCAACACCCGAAGCCAGUGGCC